GCUCAGACUGCGCAUGCCAAUAACGAUGAAGCAGGAAGUCUUAUCUUUCUCUGUGGAAGAACAACGAAGGAGGACGCAUGGAGGUUGUAUGCUCUCGCACCCAUAUUAUUUUUAUGAGCAACAACUUGUUGAGUUCCCCGUUCAGGCAACAGCGUUCAUGGACUUGAAGGGUGUUGAAGGAUCCAGACACGGAUGCAUCCUUUGUUGUACUGGAGUUUUUCUUUUGGGGACAGAUGGUGCUGGCUAUGCCAGUAGUGUACUGAGAUUUGAUUGGCUGGCAGGGUACUGAAGACGCUAUAAGAGAUCUACACCAGGGGUGUCACUCAUUCCAUAGAGAGCCUAGUGUCUGUGGGUUUUGGGUUUUCCUUUCAGUUAAGGCUUAGACAACCAGGUGAUGGAGUGACCUUAACUCGUCAAUCAAGUACAGGGAGCAGUGAAAACCUGCAUACACUCUGCCCUUCGUGCAAUGAGUUUGACACGCAAUCUACAUCUUGUUUUUGAGUUAAUGGGCCAGGAUGUAUAUUGAAGAUCUUGCCCUGUGAUUGGGUUUGAUGAUCCAGUAUGUGGAAUAUGAAGACUUAAAUCUCAACCCUAUGGUGAGUGUGAGGGCUAAAUAGCCAACUGGUUUCCUUCAGUCUUCUACUGGAGUUGUGAUGACUUCUCACUUUUGCUAUUUACUGAUCUGACUAAAUUGGGAUGCUGUGACUAACUGAACUGCCAAUAUUAGCAUUGAUCAUUAUAGGUAGACGCAGCGAUAUGGUAUAGAUGCAGUGAGUAAAGGGGUCAAUUUCCACAACUAAGAGUGUUGAAGCGUGAGCAUCUUGCUUAGCUCAAUAUCUGCGGUGCACCUCGUGGCAGGGGCUACCUGCAAUCAUUAAACCUGCAAUCCCUGACUACGGUUUGAGACUCUUAUUUCAUCAUGCAGGAUUGUUAGGCCUGCAGUAGGGGAGUUAUUUCCUGGGUUGAGAGGUGUCCAUUCAUUUUAAAUGGAAUUGAUGCCCUUUCUGACAUUUCUGCUAAUUUACCCUGCUGAAAAGCCAUUCAUUUGAAUUACCAGCAUUGUAACUAAACCCACGAUGGUAGAAAGUUGUAGGUUGAUGGCUAAUCUUAUUAGACAAUGGUCAUUUAUUUAACUGAUUUCUUCUAUUCGUUGACAAUUCACAAGGUUUGGAAAGCAGUGCAUGAACUCCUUCACAAAUAUGACCCUGGAGACCUAAACUAUCACCCUAUUUUCACCAUUCUUGCCUGUCAAAAAAAGCACAACCUUGGUCUGACUCCCCUGCUUAAGGUUAAAUGUUUGUUUUAAUCAGAUUUUAUUCUGCCCCGUUAUGAAAUAAAAUAUUUUAUGGUA